CUCUUCUGGUCUGCAGUCUUAGUGCAGUUACAUGAGGCACAGCACAACCUGACCAUUUCUGAGCAUCCAGACGUUGGAAAAGUUCUCUCUCUCUCUCUCUCUCCCUAUAUAUAUAUAUUUUUAUUUUUUUUCCCCCUACAAAAUGGAAGAAAUACGGCCUCUGCAUCAUGAGAACUAAAGGCACUUCAGCUGGAAGCUGGACAAGCUAGGUGGCACUAGAGGUGAAGGAGCAGACACGCAGGAGCACACGUGCCUUACCCUUGGGGAGGACAGCCCUAGCACAGGAAACCUCUCUGAGGCUGAGAAGUAUUGGACAUGUGCCAUGUUUGGUGCUCCUGCCCUGUUUGGUGUCCUGUUCUCUGCAGCUGGAGUCUGGAUUGAUACCAGCACCCCAAAUGGCUAGAGUGACCAUACCUUCUGGUGACAUAUAUUCACCUGGGAGACCCACCUGGAUGAAAAUUGUACUGUUAUUCUUAAGCAGUAAACAUCUGGCACUAGAGAAGAUUCCUUCUGGGAUAUCUGAUAGCCCUUUACCAGAGCACUGGACCACUUUGAAAAAGAUAAGAAAAGUGAAACUGCCAUUGUUAUCAGCAAAAUAAGAGUUUCAUAACUGUGUACGUAAAUUCAUUUCAAAUAUCCAUAUUAUCUGUAACAGAUAUAUUGUCAUUUUCUUCCCUGUAUCAGUAGUACAUACAUAAAAUUUCUACUAUUUACAGCUAGAGCACCAGCCAUCUCUCCAAAAAUAUCUUUUGUGGAUGAGGUUCCCUGGGGUUACAUAAUUAUUAUUAUUUUUUUUUCUUAAGCUGAUUUUCUCCUUCUCUUUUUAGAGUGUAUAUGAUGUAUGUUCUGAAACAGAUAUCCCUAUUUAAUUCUCUUUCUGAGCAACUGGAUACUACAUUUUUGCAAUUUUUUUGAAGAAAGUUAUUAUCCCGCGGUUUGAUGUAUGAUGAAUAUCUGAUUUGUUCAUUUGGUAAUCGCAUGCAUGUGAUGUAUAACCACACAGGAAUUUCAUAUUAAUGUGGCUCUAAUAAUUUAUAUCCUAUGGAACAACCAUUACUUUGACUUUCCACCAUACAUCAUCAACAUGUGUAGUCACAUUCCUUAUGACAACUAAUUUUAAACAGCUUACGAUCAGAAAGGAACUAUGCUGUUUUAUAUGGAGGGCUCAACUGCCAGAGUAAGCACACUCUGGACAGCAGAAAUGAUCCUAAAAACUGUUGAUAAUCUGAUUGUUUUAUCUUCCACUUCCCUAUAAAAAUGAUUGCUUUUCUUUAUAGUCCUCUGCCUUUCACUCCCUUUGGUAGCUUGCCUCUAGUUUCUGACCUAAUUGUCUUUGCUUUUCCUGUUUUAAUUAAGAGUUCCUGAACAAUAAUUCCUUUUCCCUUCCCUUCCCCCUUCCCUUCCCUUCCCCCUUCCCUUCCCCCUUCCCUUCCCCUUCCCUUCCCCCUUCCCUUCCCCCUUCCCUUCUUCCCUUUUCUGUUCCCUCUUCCAUUUGGCAAGAGGAAUGUUAAUGACCCCUUUCCUGCCAUUUCUCUCUGGACUAAAAGCCUGACUCUCUGGCAUGAAAACAUCCAUCUUGGCUGGGUUUGUGACUUACGCUUCUGCCAGUGGAAGAAACCUCCUUCUGCCCAUGGGCGUGCUGAGAAAGGAGGCCUGCUCAGCUGUGCUUGGAUGUCGGUAACACUCCUACCCAAGCGGAUGUCCUUGAUCUCUGCAGGAGCAGCCAGCAGAAGAGCACAAGGUGUGGCAGCAAACAGAUCACUCAGAAAUGCAAUCACUGUACCCUCACAUUUUUAUACAGCUGCUGUGUCACCCGUGCAUUUCAAGACUGAGCUAGCGCUAUUGUGUUUCAAAGGCAAAACUGUGUUUUUAACUUCACAUUGAACUUAUGAACUGAUUGGAAUGUCUUCGACGUCCUUUUUUCCUGUUUUCAGGAUUUUUCCUGUUCCUCCUCCAAUUGUCUCUAUUAAGGAAAAGAAACAAACAGUUCUGGAAAAUACAGAUAAAACCAUACAGCCUAUUAACAUAAAAGCCUGUGGAUUAAAUUUUUAAUUUGUAUAAAUUAAGAAAAAAAUGCUUGAUAUCUCUGAGUCUUUUCUGAUUUAUACCGGCUAUGGGACCUGGAACCUCUGGUAAUGGAGAAUGCAAUUUCUCUUCCAUGAUAAAUGCUAGUGGAUUCUUAAGCUAGUAAAUACAUUUGUAUUUCAACAUG